CUUGGUGUCAUCUGCAAACUUACUGAGGGUGCACUCGAUCCCCUCAUCCAGGUCAUCGAUAAAGGUAUUAAAGAGGACUGGCCCCAGGAAGCUUUCCUUGUGCCCAAGGCUCAUGGGCUUUCCUUGUGCCCAAGUACAGAAUAGAUUAAAAAAUGAAACCAUUGGGCAAAAAUAGACUUGGUAGUACUGAAAUCUUGAACUGUUGGCAGAACAAGGAAAGCCUGUGUCAUCAGACUUUUGUUGACAGCUUUUUGGCAUGCAUAACACACUUUCACACAUUUGUGACCUUGGGGGGCUGGGUGGGAGAUAGUGAUGAGGAUUGUGCUGGUAUUUGAUUCUGCAGCCUUCUCUAAUGCACAGCAUGAUAGGGAAAAACUCAUUGUAAGAGUAACUCUUUUAUUUAAAAGUAAAGGAACAUAUCUUUUGCUUUUACAUCACUGGCAGAAUAUAUGGCAAUACCAUUUUAAAGUUGACUCCUUUGAUAGCUUCAAUCAAAUCUGACAAGGAGUCUGUUCAAAACAGAUACUUGUUGGGGUUUCUUGGCUAAAGCAUCCUCUCAAUCUUUUGACAAAUUCAGUGUCUCAACACUGUGAAUCACACCCACCACCCCCAAAAUACUGACAGAGCAAGUGGCUUUCUUUAGAAAUGUCCUCUUUCCAAGUUUUGCAUACUGAAAGUUCCUGUUCAGUUUCAUUCAAAUCUAGCUUGUGGGCGGAUCUAAUGACAUAUUCUCUCUUUAUAUUCAUCUACAGCAUAUUGGCUAUUCCUGCCCUGAAGACCUGGGAGCUGAUUCCUCACCACACGCACCCUCUAGUCUGCCUGUGUGUACCAAUGAGGCUGGAAACCUGAGGACGUGAGCACAAGCAGUCUCCUAUAGCACGCGGAUGACCAUGUUUCUUGCAGUGCCGUCUUGGAACCUGCCUGAGCACAGCUGAUGCAGGCUGCAAGCGUGGCUCCUGCUGCCUUCACUGCUGCCACUUGGGCUGGCCUGGUGAGUAACGUUGUGGGCGAAAGCAGCCCUGCUCCUUCCAGCUGAGUUUUGCCACUUAAUCAAGUCUCCUUGGCAGCUGCACCCAAGGGAGGGAAAGGCAGAUCAUGGAGCUGAUGAUCCAGGGUAAAAGCUGCUGCUGUUUCUCUCCAUGUCUCAGCUGUUUUGCUUGUUAUGCCUCUGCUCCCUUUGAUCACCUGGUGCAGGAAAAUGGAAAGGGAUGGAAGUCAGACCAGGCGCUAUCAGUGGGAUAGCUCCCAAGACCUAGCACCUCCUUGUGAGGAAUGUUUACCUUGUCUGGCAGAUGAUCUGCACUGAGCAGCAAAAUCCCUCGGGCAGAGAAAAUCCCAGACUCCUGUCUUGCUGGAAGCGUGUUUUCAGGUGGGAACAUGAGGCUGGCUCUGGGAAAGGAGGAUGUGGCACAUGGGGAGCAGGGAUAAGCUUAGCUGUCUGUUGAGUUAGCUUCUUCUGCUUUCCUGGGCAUGCUUUGUUUGACCAUUUCCAAUGAAUGAUAUUCCACCUAGCCAGGAGUCAAUAAAAACUAAUACUACAAAAUAAGGCUCUGAUCC
ensembl:lncRNA